rnacentral:lncRNA from 1 species
UAUCCUCAACCUGCAUGGCCCUGUCUCCAGAGACAUUAUUAGCAAGCCUUGUCAGCAUUCAAGGAAGUGACAAAGUGACAGUCUGGGGUUGUCUGCAAUUUUAGAAUGAACAUUGGGCCUGCUAUCGAUCGCAUUUGAGGGGGAUGAGAUUGUAGGAUGGCUGCCUGAUCCCCAAAGGACCUUCAGAAAAUCGAGAUGUGUAUUUCAUGAGAGUCACCCAGGAAGAAAACUUAAAUAAAUCCUUGAGAAAGAAAUGAAAGAAUUGGAGG